AGAAGAAACUGAAACAUGUUUCAAAUGAACAUAAGAAAUAUAUGGCUCGGGAGAUGGUGUUAGCAUUGGAAAGAACAAAGAAUGAAUCUGGUCAAUCUCCAUAACCUUCUGGAAGACACAGUAGCACAUUCAUGCAAAUGUUUUAUCAACUUGAAAGAAGACAGUUGUGUCAUAAACCUAAUGUUGUAGAAGGCUGUGCAAAGAGAUCAAAGGACAGUGAGAACUUGAUGCUAUAUAGGAGAGAGUGAAUCUAACUGACCCAAAAUGAAUCCCUCCUUCUGGACCAUUCAGGGAUCUUGUCAAAUCUUAAGUUUCAAUGGAAGAUUUCCUUCUACAUUUACUGAAUUUGAGGAGAUCAUGCAUUCUUUCCUAGAAAGAACAGAGCUCUUCUGCAUGUCACCAGGCUCUCUUGCACAGCCUCCACCCAGGGUACCACGGAACCAGAACUUCUUGCAUAACGUCCGAGCACCUAGAUAACUGUGUAGCUGGCAUCAUGGAGUCUGCACAGAAUCAAGAAAUGUCACAGAUUACUGCACUCCCUUAACUGAUCAAACUCCUUGAAAAAUCUCUGGGCCAGGCAGAAACCUCUGAGUUGGCCUUCUGACAAGAGUCUGCCUUCUUCCCAGGUGGCCGGCCUCCUGAAUAAAGCUCAAUUAUUU